UGAAUAAUGAGGUCAUAUAACGUUUUUUUUUCUUUUCAGAUGUUGAAUUGAUUGAGGAGUCAGAUGUUGACAUAUCUGACUUAGACCGCUAUCUUCACGAUCAGAGAGCUUUCUCCUCUCCGAAAAGAACUCGCCUCGGUUCAGCUUCUAAAGGCUGUAAACUCACAGACAGCCAAAGACAGAUUCUCCGUGGUGCUACCUCAAUAGGAAAACAUCUCACAGUUGACAGAGGAGGCAAAAGUGUGACUGGAGCUCGCAUACCAAUACGCAGAAGGAGGCGGAGAAAUGAGAGGAGGUCCAGACGCAAAUACACCCAAG